rnacentral:ncRNA from 1 species
ACCAAGGAGUCUAACAUGUGUGCGAAUCGGUGGGUUUGUAAACCUGCAAGGUGUAAGGAAGCUGAUGGGUGAGAAACCCUCUCCAUGGGGCGCAUUGCUGACCGACCUUGAGCUUGUGCGAAGGGUUCGAGUGCGAGCACACCUGUUGGGACCCGAAAUAUGGUGAACUAUGCCUGAGCAGGGCGAAGCUAGAGGAAACUCUGGUGGAGGCCCGUAGUGAUACUGACAUGCAAAUCGUUCGUCUAACUUGGGUAUAGGGGAAAAAUACUAAUCAAACCAUCUAGUAGCUGGUUUCCUCCGAAGUUUCCCUCAGGAUAGCUGGAGCUCACGUGCGAGUUUUAUCGGGUAAAGCAAAUAAUUAGAGGCAUCGGGGGCGUAACGCCCUCAACCUAUUCUCAAAAUUUAAAUAGGUAAGACGGUGCGGCUGCUCCAUUGAACCGUGCCAUGUAAUCGAGAGCUCCAAGUGGGCCAUUUUUGGUAAGCAGAACUGGCAAUGCGGGAUGAACCGAAAGUCGAGUUAUGGUGCCAAACUACGUGCUAACCAGAUCCCACAAAGGGUGUUGGUUGAUUAAGACAGCAGGACGGUGGUCAUGGAAGUCGAAAUCCGCUAAGGAGUGUGUAACAACUCACCUGCCGAAUCAACUAGC